ACUUGAAGAUUUAUAAAUUAUUUCCAACUGCUCCCUGCUCAUCCAGAUUUAUUCAAACAAUGACAACUCUAAGUGAGCCACAAAACAUUGCAACAUAACCUCAUCAGUGUUUGGUGAAAUUAUGGCAGCAAACUACGUGAACAGUUUUGCCUGUAGGUGUCAUGAUGUUUCCUGUCAUCUUUCUAAGCCAUCAAUAUUACAUGUUCAUUGACAAGUGCCGCUGUUAUCAUGGUACAAUGGCCAUUUUGCAUCACCUUAGAUCAAAUCUGAGAUAAUAUCACAAGAAAACAUAACUAAGAAGGAAGACACUCAGAAAUAUAAGAAAGCAGAGGGAGGAAUCCACUCUGAAAAUAACAAAGAGGAGAUCUAAGACCAAAUGUCAUGAAUAAGACUUAAAUUCCAUA